UGAACGCUGGCGGCGUGCCUAACACAUGCAAGUCGAACGGAGUAUUAGAGCUUGCUUGAAUACUUAGUGGCGGACGGGUGAGUAAUGUAUGAGCAACCUGCCUUCAGAGGGGGACAACAGUUGGAAACGACUGCUAAUACCGCGUAACGUAUGAUGGGGGCAUCCCCGACAUACCAAAGGAGCAAUCCGCUGAAAGAUGGGCUCAUAUCUGAUUAGCUAGUUGGUAGGGUAACGGCCUACCAAGGCUGCGAUCAGUAGCCGGACUGAGAGGUUGAACGGCCACAUUGGGACUGAGAUACGGCCCAGACUCCUACGGGAGGCAGCAGUGGGGAAUAUUGGGCAAUGGGCGAAAGCCUGACCCAAGCAACGCCGCGUGAAGGAAGAAGGUCUUCGGAUUGUAAACUUCUUUUAUGAGGGACGAAGGACGUGACGGUACCUCAUGAAUAAGCCACGGCUAACUACGUGCCAGCAGCUGC
rnacentral:rRNA from 1 species